UACGUAGGGGGCAAGCGUUGUCCAGAUUUAUUGGGCGUAAAGAGCUCGUAGGUGGUUCGGUAAGUCGGAUGUGAAAUCUCCAGGCUCAACCUGGAGGGGUCAUUCGAUACUGCCGUGACUAGAGUUCGGUAGGGGAGUGUGGAAUUCCUGGUGGAGCGGUGAAAUGCGCAGAUAUCAGGAGGAACACCCGUAGCGAAGGCGGCACUCUGGGCCGAUACUGACACUGAGGAGCGAAAGCGUGGGGAGCGAACAGG
rnacentral:rRNA from 1 species